AAGGAGGAAAAUUAAUCCUACAAGUGAAAAUAAUAUGACAAUUUGUGAACAAAAGGAAGAGGUUGUAAACACAGAGAGGAUGAUAAAUGUACAAGGCAUGGUGAAAGGAGAUUGAGGCUCAAAGAAGUUCAACUCACCCAAAGUCAUAACUAACUAGCAAGUGGCAGAGCCAGGAUUCAAACUCUGUGCUUCCUUUUUAGAGGAGAGAGCAGAUGAAGGAGUUCACUGUUCCAAGAUUGAGGGCAGGCUCUAAGAGCUGAGAGUUGCCCCCAGCUGAUGGCCAGCAAGAAAAUGGGAACCUCAGUCCUAUAACCACAAGGAACUGAACUCUGCCAGCAAAGUGAAUGAGCUUGAAGACAGCUCCAGAUGAAAUCAGAGCUCGCUGACUCCUUGAUUUCAGCCUUGUAAAAUCCUG